UCUUGGGCAAAUGCUGCAUAUAUUGUAAUGUAGAGGAAAGUCCAUGCUCACACAAGCUGUGAUGUUUGUAGUGUUCGUGCCUAGGGAAAAAAUAACCUAGGGUAGCUUAGGCUAACGGCGUUGAGGAAACCUGUCAAAUGGUUUUAGUAAACAUAAAGUGCCAUAGAGACGAGUUAGUUUGGAAACAAGCUAAGUGGAACGCGGUAAACCCCACGAGUGAGAAACCCAAAUUAUGGUAGGGGAGUUCUAUUUCGGGAAUCAAACUGAAAUAGGGCCUGCUUGCAGGAGAUAAAUAUUUGCCACUUUCGUAAGAAAGUACAGAACAUGGCUUAUAA
rnacentral:RNase_P_RNA from 1 species